rnacentral:rRNA from 1 species
AUUGAACGCUGGCGGCAGGCCUAACACAUGCAAGUCGAACGGUAACAGGAAGCAGCUUGCUGCUUUGCUGACGAGUGGCGGACGGGUGAGUAAUGUCUGGGAAACUGCCUGAUGGAGGGGGAUAACUACUGGAAACGGUAGCUAAUACCGCAUAACGUCGCAAGACCAAAGAGGGGGACCUUCGGGCCUCUUGCCUUCGGAUGUGCCCAGAUGGGAUUAGCUAGUAGGUGGGGUAACGGCUCACCUAGGCGACGAUCCCUAGCUGGUCUGAGAGGAUGACCAGCCACACUGGAACUGAGACACGGUCCAGACUCCUACGGGAGGCAGCAGUGGGGAAUAUUGCACAAUGGGCGCAAGCCUGAUGCAGCCAUGCCGCGUGUAUGAAGAAGGCCUUCGGGUUGUAAAGUACUUUCAGCGGGGAGGAAGGGAGUAAAGUUAAUACCUUUGCUCAUUGACGUUACCCGCAGAAGAAGCACCGGCUAACUCCGUG